GAACUUAAAAAAAUUAUUUUUAUUUUUGGAACCAAUAAAAUUAUGGUAAAUAUUUACAAAUAAUUAUCUCACAUAAAGGUUACAUAAAAUCAAAAUGUCCACAAGUAACAGUCACUCUCAUGAAAAGACACACAGAUAUUGAAACUACGCCAAUCUUAUUGCAUGUUUCUUCAACUAAUCUAAAAUAAAAUGUUUGCAGUCAACCAUUUAACUUAGAAUAAAAAUCACAGUCCAGUAUUGACAAGAAAAUUGAGAACCAAAGCAAAAAGAAAUCAACUUAUUCCCCAAACACCCCUCCCUUUGACCCACACCUUAAACACCCACCCAGCUAAAAAAAUAAAAUCAAACAAAAACAUCCCAAAACCCAAAACAAAAUUAAACAAAACAAAGUGUUCGACAUCUUUGGCAAAUUGGCACUGCUGUCAUUACAUUCAAAUAUUAUUACACACAAAAGCAACACACAACACUAAGAAAAAAACACCAAGAUUUCAAGUCAGUUCUUUUCCUACUAGAAAAAAAGAAUACAAAACAUACACAUUUUAAGAAGCAAUUUUAUCUGUGUGGAGACAGUCAUCUCCUACGUUCAAAGGCAAUUCAAUUGUAUUUUUAUGUUUUUUUAUUUGUUUUGUCUAUUUUGUUGGUUUUCAAAAGUAAGCUUCUGAACAGCCAUCAGAGACUUUGGUGAAUACAAUCGACAUUUAUUUCUUUGAUGCUGGAUACCCUUCAUAAAGGGAGUUUGUCUUUGAAAAAAAAUUAGCAUUCACUCAGAAAGGAAUCCAUUUGCAAUGUAACAUGUUUCUGUGUUUUUAAAGGCCACUAGAAAGUGACAGACCAGGACAGUGUCUUUUCCAAUACAGGUCUGAGCAAAACAAAAGAAAGAAGAGGUUUGUUCAUGCAUUAUGUUUUUUGCAGGACUCGUUCCAGGGGCGAAUUAGAUUUAUCCUUUAUUAGUUGCCAGCUGUUUACAUUGGCCAGGAUCCAAAGCACAGCGCAACUAGUUCCAUGCCCCCAAGAAGGCUUUGGGCUUGUGUUUCUCAGGUAGCAGCCUCCAGUGUUUUAUGGCAAGUCACUUUUGAAAUGAAGGGGACUUUCAAAAGCUAAUUGUGAUAUGGCAUAGGCAUCUGUUGUUGAAAACGGAAAUGGUUUUAGCAUCACAUUGGACACAACCGAGCACUCAGGGACCCCUUAUGUACCACUUCGGACCUCCACAUUACACUUAGGUUUUCCAUGACCUCCCUCAUAGAGUUUCUUUCAGAGGUGAAUUACCUCUAUGAAUUGUUUGGAGACAGACUUAAAGCUACUUUGCAGCAGGACAAUAAUUACCUCCCAAUACAAAAACAAGGGGUAAAAAAAAUGAUGUGCGUGCAAGUGCCCACCUGACUUAAGUUUGCCUUGCAAAGCAGGGAGAAAAAAUCUCAAAGACUGGCAGUAUAAUUACAGACCUCACAAACACGCUGGAAAAUCCAGGACUUUGGACCAAUUAAGAUAGGGAUGUGUACGCAUCCACACGAAGAUGCAAACAUUGGCCAACAAAUGCUCUUUGUACUGUAUUGGCUGUUAUAUUGAAACAUGGAGUACACAGUGAUAUUGAAAGAGGGACAAUGGGUUGGAUCCAGAGUUUUCUCCCACCAGUGGUGGCAUCCACUGAACCAGGUUUCACUCAGGAUGUUCUUGCCAGCGGAAGAGAUGAGAGGCAUUUGUUUUGGGCCAAUUUUCCCACCCCCCUGCCAUUUCAGUGUCAUCUCUCAUGCUGUUCCAGGGAGUCCUCCAACCUUCCAGAGUAGAUCUGAGGGGGCAAAGGGGACUGCAGGGGAAGGGAGAACCAGCAAAAUCAUAUUCUGGAAUUGCUUUUCCAUUGGUGGGAUUCCUCUGCUGAAUCAGAAGCCUCCCAUGGAUGGAAGCAGCUUUUCUCUUCAGAAACCAAGUCUGGAUGCUGUCCAGCAUGUAAAGAUGGUCACAUGAUCUGACAGCCAAGCUAGCUGAUGAAUACUGAUUUUAGACUCUGCAUCAUAGACUUAUGGAAUGCUACUUUUAAUGUAAAUAAGUAUAUAUGAAACUUUGGGUUGCGUCUACUGCUUCUGUCCCUUGGUGCUGUUAUUAUUGUUAUUUCUGUUGUCUGGUCUUUGACUGUAAUAAAGAGUAACUAAGCUAUCCGACAUUAAUGAUAUUUCUGGUACUGUGCCUUGCAUGGUGUAUUUUGCUUGGCAUUGUCAUGUUGACACCAGUCAUAAAAUGAUAGCAUGUAGGAUGGAAUCAGAUUUCACACACACACACACACACACACACACACACACACAUUUCAGGUGUAUUCUGGUAUAUACAGUGUAGCAAUUAAAAGUUGACUAUUGAUUACUCAGAAAGUUUAGCUUGCCACAUUCAUAAAUACAAUAGUUGCAGCCUGAGCUGGAAAAAAAUGUGUGGUUUCAUUUAUGAGCUUCCUCCCUGUUUCAAUUCCAAGAAAAAUGGAAAUAUGAUGGAGUAAAUAUCAGACCAUAAAUGAGAAAAUACAUUGUCAGGCAGGUCCACAGAUAUGGUCUGUGGACCUCUUUAUUCAGCACAGUUAAUUUUAAUGGAGAUAUUUGAAAUACUUCCUGUUGGUUUGGGGUAGGCUAAAAUCAGGGAAUCCCCAUACAUUCAGAGACCUUAGAAACAGAUAAAGUGAUACAAGUCACUUUACUAUUGAAAAACUAGAAAUUUAAUUUAAUUUCCUUUGUCUAAUGCCCCCAUGCCCCAAAAGCCAACUUUUGUUCAGAACAUAAAGUCUAAAUUUUUUAACCAAUUUAAUAUUGAAAAUUAAUUAUAUAUAUAAUACUGACAACAGAACACUCCAGAAGGAAUUGAAACUUCAAAUUCUAAAACUUCAUAAAGUUUAUCAAAUUCAGUUUUCUACAUAUGAAGUUUAUUCAACUAGAAAUCUGCCAAUAUUUUUUAAUAAAGGAGUCCUAUCCUGGUUAAAAUCUUCUAGAGAAGCUGUAAAAAUAUGAUCGUAUAAAGAUACAUUAUAUAAAGUUUACAUUUUUCUCUCUGAGAAAUAAUAUAUUUAAUGUAGCUCCACUGGAAAAAGCUUUGAGGUCGGGAAAGGGUAUAGAAAAGUUAAACCUCAAAAGAACUGGAGAUGCUUCAGAUAAGCAUCCACUCUUUUUAGGGCUUAUCAAAAGAGAGUCACACCUCCAGAUCUUUUGAGAGUGACCGAUCAAUAUUCAACAGAUGUAAAUGAUUGGUUUCACUAUCAAACCAUGUACUUCCCAGUUAAAGCUGGAGGGACUCUCUCAGAGUAAGCAGUUUCAGGACUGGAGAUAUUUGCCACCAACUUUCCUUCCAUAAACAAUAGGACUCCUUUAAUAAUAUUCUGGUUAAGCUUGGGACACUACUGUCCCUUGCAGAGUAAACACAGAAGGGCACUGAGUGCUAAGCCACCUGCAAAGUAUCUCUAGAAGAAGAGAAAUGUGUUCUCUUUUGCACCGUUAAGGCAGAGGAUGCAGGACUUCUACUAAAACCCCAAACGUUUUCUGGAUUUUAGUUGAUAUAUAUUGACCUAUCUUCACUAAUGUGAGUGUAGAAUUGCUAGAUAAAACAACAAAAGACCCUUGUGGCACCUGAAGAGCAAAUAAAUAUAUUGUGGGCAUAAGCUUUUGUUGAUUCUAGCCCAUGAAAGCUUGUGCUUUAAUAAAUUAGCUAGUUUGUAAAGUACCACAAGACUCUGUUGUUUUUGCUAACAGCUAACACAGCUACCCCUUUGGAUGAAAAAGUUCCUAAGGCCUUUUCAGCAGUCAAAAAGAUGGUAAUUAAAGCAUUACUUUUGCAGCAUGGAAACAGCUUCAGCAUUGUCUAGUUCAUAGGUGAACACUAUGAUCCAUAGGGCACGAUACAGUCCACCGCCAUCACAUUUUGCACAGCUCACACAAGGUGACAACACCCUCAGCCAACUGACAAGUCAUCCCCCCCCCUUUAGUGCCCAGUGCCAGAAGUGAGGACCGUGAUAGGACCACCUUUUCAUGAUGGCAUUUAUAUUAGAGAGGAGAGUGCCUUUCCUCCUUCGCACCCAGCAAAAAGCAACCUUCAAGGCAUUCUGAGUUGUGAACUGGCCGCCCUGGUAUCAGUAUCAGUAGCACUGGAGCCAACCAUUUUAGCCCUUGCUGUUCCACAGUGUUUCACGCAUAAUAGAACUGUGGGGGAACAGACCAUGCUGAGGCAGCUUUCAAACUGGAAAGGUAAAGCUUGAAUUGGAUCUCAAGAGUAUCUGUUGACCUGAUAGUUAGCAAUUGAUAAUAUUUUUCCCCUCAAUAAACUUGCUUCUAUUGACAGAAUAAUAGACUGUUGUGAGCUGGUCCACACGCUUGCUUACUUGGGAAUUUUGUGUACAUGGUUGGGGCAAUGAAUGUGUGCCUCAACCACAAAUUAUUUUAUUGUGGGAGCUGAAGUCCCCAUGGCCCUUAGGAGUUGGCUCUUAUGCAUACAUAUACAUCUGCUACCUGCAAGUCUUAAUAUCUGAAAAAGGUUAGAUCCUAGGAAUCUGUCAAAGAUAUAUGCAAAUGAAUGCUUAUUUGUUGUCCUGCUAUGUUUAUGGGGUUGCAAGAGAGGCAAAGGGUUGAACGAGCUGUAAAUGUGGUGGUUCAUCUGUCCUCAUUGUGUUAUCUUGCAUUGCUGAUUUUAUCAUAUAUUAAUAAAUAUGAUUGUCUAAACUGGCUGUGAGGAAACAUAAAAUGAAUGUUGCAUGGGCAUGAUGACAAGUUUUUUUUAAAAAAAAUCAGUAUCAUUGAAAUAUGUGUUGUGGAGAUGUAAUGAAUAAUUGUUUUUUCAGAUGUUCAUAAAGCCCAGUGGACAUUGUAGAAUUAAGGGUGGAGAUGCGUAUUCUUUCCCGAAGUACAUGUAUAUCAAUGGUAACCUUAGAAAUUGCAGUGUACAAUACAUCUCUGAAUGGGAACGGAGAUGCAGGCUGCUCUUGCUGAAUAUUCCCUCCAGCGUGUUCACCCUGCUUUUCUCAUAAGCUCUGCUCCUGUACUUGUGAGGGACUUAGAACCUAGUCAAUAGGUGAUAGCAGAACCAGUAGUGUGGAAUUUUCAAAGGCUGCAUACAUAAAGGUCUUCCUAAUCUACCACAAGCUGUUGAAAAGCUCCUAGUUGUGUUGGGGCACCAUGCCAAAUCAGAUAAUGCUUGAAUGCUCCUUAUCCUGCUUUGCCCCAUCAACCUGCCAAGUAUGUAUGGCAACAUCAAAUACUCAGCAAGUAAAAAGCAUUUUAACAUGACCACACAGAAUAAGUGAGGGUGUUUUUGGCUGCCUGCACCUAGGAAGAAUAAAAGCUUGCCUCAGCUGACCCUCAGAAGCCACACAUUUGUGGUAGAGGAAGAAAAGGUUCUUGGUUUGCUAUCUUGAGGAGUGGCUGCCUUUGUGAGUUAUGGACACCGUAAGCAUUUGGUAUGGCACUAAAAAGCGGACGUGAGAGCCUGUUGCAAGAACAUUGCCUUCAUUGUUAAUCUAUAGUUUCAAAGUAACCAAUUUGGGCUAGAAAUUGGUUAAAGCACCCCCAUUUUUUGUUCUAACACCUUCCCAAGGAACACCUGCUCUUCAAAGUUGAAUCUGAGGUUUAAAUUGCCAUUUGCUCAGAUUCUGCUUUAAAGAGCAGGUUUUUUGCAGGGAAAGCGGGGGCGGGGGCAACUCAGUCACACAGCAUUAAAGCGCAGACUAAGAGCAGGGCAAAUGGAAAGUGUGGAAAAGCUCUAAUGGAUGGUUUUUUUAGUGUGAAGCCAGCAGAUCUAGGCCGUUCCACCCCAUGUUAAAAUUCCUGCCAUUCCUGUAAAUAUCAUAGUGUUAUUUUUCACAUUUGCAGACUGUACAUUGUGUGUGUCCACCGAGAAUGCUAUGCAAAAUCAAAUCUACCUACACAAAGGGGACUGGUCAGUUUUUUAUUUCAGUAAGACCAAAGGUGCAGGUGGGAAGCAAGAGUUUGCAGCAAUCUGAGCCUUGCUUUGACCCCUCUGUACAUAGUGGAAGGGCACCCACAAUCCUCCAAAAUUGUGGCCACAGCCUACCUGGAAUUUGUGUCAGUCUCACAAUGCAAUCCUCUACAUGCCUACUCAGAAGCAUAGGUGCCAGCUCCCUGGGGCCCUGGGUGCCUGAGCACCCACAAAAUUCUCCAUGAAUGGGGUGGGCACCCACAAAUUUUGGUGCCAGGGCCAAGCAUGCUGCAUGGCACCCAUGGCCCUGGGCACCCACAGUAGGGAGCAAGCCCUGGCGCUGAUGCUCAGAAGUAGGUCUCAUUAGGUUCAAUGGCUCUUGCUCCCUGGGAAGUGGGUGUAGGAUUGCAGUCUCAAUCAUACAGAAGGUCGCAAUGAACUGUGUCUAGAAAAGCAAUUUCUUAAAGCUUCUUGCAGCAUACUUGGUAUAAAGAUAAACCAAAUUUUGUAUAACUCCUCUGGCCAUACAGUUUGAAUUGUUCAAUUUAACUAGAAAUAAAGAGUAGUUGGCUAAAGUUCUUCAUGUGCUAAAAUUCCAGAUUACCUGUUCACACUCCCCCUCCCCUCCAUUUUAUCUUUUUUUAAAAGCACAGGUUAAGAGAACUUUUUAAGCUUAUAUAUUGACUGCCCAUUCAACUGAACUGUGUUUUGUUCCUGAUUUUACCCCCGGGUAAAAAAUACUAUAAUUUUUCACAAAUAAAGGCUUAAUGGUGCCAGCAAAAUGAAGUAUGGAGAAACAUGGACUUUUAAAAUAGCACCCAGUUGUUUCUGGUAGUAAAAGCUAACAUUUGAUGUACCACUUCCUAAUUUUUUGAAAUAUUCUUAGAAAUCAGGAAAAAUAAUUUCCCCUUCAGUUACAGAUGAAAUUCUUAUUUUCAACCCUCUCCUUGCUUUCAUACAAACACAUUGAAAGUUAGGCCAAAAUGUGUUUCUCUUGAGCUAUGAAACUGAAUGGUCACACAUAGGUUUGUAAAUCAAUUUUCAUUCCAGCUAGCAAUGAGCAUACUGAAUCAGACAAACAUCCAGGAAUUGCCAUGCAGGCUUUUGAUACUGAAAAUGUCACUAGUAUUAUGCAGUUAGACUUUUAUUAAAAUGUGUGUGCUUUUUAUACUAAGGCCUCUUUAAUUUUGUUACUGUAAAUAUUCUUGAAUCCCUUUCAUAUAUUAUAGUUCUAAAAUAGGGACCAAUAGCAAUAAUGGAAAUGAGGAAUUGGACGAUGAAAGUUUUAUACAUGCAUCUUAUUAGACAGCAAAUAGAAUA